UACAGAGGGUGCGAGCGUUAAUCGGAAUUACUGGGCGUAAAGCGUGCGCAGGCGGUUUUGUAAGUUUGUCGUGAAAUCCCCGGGCUCAACCUGGGAAUUGCGAUGAAGACUGCAAGGCUAGAAUCUGGCAGAGGGGGGUAGAAUUCCACGUGUAGCAGUGAAAUGCGUAGAGAUGUGGAGGAACACCGAUGGCGAAGGCAGCCCCCUGGGUCAAGAUUGACGCUCAUGCACGAAAGCGUGGGGAGCAAACAGG
rnacentral:rRNA from 1 species